ACUAGGCACGGAACCCUCGACCUCUCUCUUUCUCUCGAACCCUAAUUCUAACUUUAUUCCCUCCAACUUUUCAUUCCACCUCUCUUCUCUGUCGACCUCUCCUCUCGAGCCUUAAUUCUAUUUCACAUUUCUCUGCAACCUUCAUUCCAGCUCUCCUCUUCCUUUCAUUCUUCGUUCUUCUUGCAUAUAACUCUCACAUAAAGUUAUAAACACUGAAACAACGACCGCAAGUUUCACCAUCUUCACCCUCUUACUUUCCUUUUUCGUAGGGACACACAACACAAGCUUCUCUCGUUUUCAUUUUCAACCGCUCUCAGAACCCUCUAAAAGCAUCUCGGUUUUUUGAGGACAGGAAGGAAGAGAAGUGGGAAUGAAGGAAAUUUUGGGAUAAAAUCAAGGAGGAAGAAAAAGGUGGUGAUAAUAAGUUUAGAUGCAUUCAUGAGGGCAAGGUUAAGGAAAAAGACGCUGAAGGUGUCCAUGGCUCAACUUCUUCCAAGGACACUGCAUUUGACAACAAGGUUGUUGGUGUCAGUGCGUUUGCAGAUGCAGGAGCUCAUCCGAGGAUAUAUCUUUGGCCGAGAGGUCUUUCCUGCAGCUACAGAUUCACGCUACUUCCGUGACCUUGAAUUAUCAGCUAUUGGAUUCUCACCUAUGGCAAACACCCCUCUUCUACUCCAUGACCAUAAUGAGUAUUAUCAAUAUUUGGUCUGCAAGGUCUUGUAUACUUCUUGAUCCUCAUUGGUUGGAUUCUUGUUGCCGGCACAUUUAUACUUUGUGGUUUGGAGUGACCAAAUGCUACUUUAGAAUCUGUGGUACAACCCCUAAAUUUCAGUUUGAAGCAUCUGUGGUACAGCCCCUAAAGUUCAGUGUCGAUUAAUCUUAGUGGUUUGAAAAACCUUUUAUCAUUGUAAAUGGCUUUGACAUAGUGCCAGCCUAGAUUAAUAAAUUUGUUUAUUAUGAAUAUAUAUUAAAAUUGUGGGUGUUGAAUAGGUAA